GUGCUCACUUUGAUAACACAUAUAAUAAAAUUGGAAUGAUAUAGAAAAGAUUAGCAUGGCCUACACACAAGGAUGACAUGCAAAUCUUUGAAGCAUUCUAUAUUUAG